CCUACGGGAGGCAGCAGUAGGGAAUAUUGCUCAAUGGGGGAAACCCUGAAGCAGCAACGCCGCGUGGAGGAUGAAGGUUUUCGGAUUGUAAACUCCUUUUGUUAGAGAAGAUAAUGACGGUAUCUAACGAAUAAGCCCCGGCUAACUCCGUGCCAGCAGCCGCGGUAAUACGGAGGGUGCAAGCGUUACUCGGAAUCACUGGGCGUAAAGAGCGCGUAGGCGGGAGAGCAAGUCAGAUGUGAAAUCCUAGGGCUUAACCAUAGAACUGCAUUUGAAACUGUUAGGCUGGAGUGCGGGAGAGGUAGGUGGAAUUCUUGGUGUAGGGGUAAAAUGCGUAGAUAUCAGGAGGAACACCCGUUGCGAAGGCGACUUACUGGACUGUAACUGACGUUGAUGCUCGAAAGCGUGGGGAGCAAACAGGAUUAGAUACCCGGGUAGUC
rnacentral:rRNA from 1 species